rnacentral:rRNA from 1 species
GGGGCCGCACAAGCGGUGGAGCAUGUGGUUUAAUCGAUGAUACGCGAGGAACCUUACCUGGGCUCAAAUGUAUGUUGACGUAUUCUGAAAGGGAUACUUCUUCGGACAAUAUACAAGGUGCUGCAUGGUUGUCGUCAGCUCGUGCCGUGAGGUGUCGGGUUAAGUCCCAUAACGAGCGCAACCCUACCUUUUAGUUGCCAUCAGGUAAUGCUGGGGACUCUAAAGGAACUGCCUACGCAAGUAGUGAGGAAGGCGGGGAUGACGUCAAAUCAGCACGGCCCUUACGUCCAGGGCUACACACGUGCUACAAUGGCCGAUACAGAGGGCAGCUACCUGGUGACAGGAUGCUAAUCUCAAAAGCCGGUCUCAGUUCGGAUCGGAGUCUGCAACUCGACUCCAUGAAGUUGGAAUCGCUAGUAAUCGUGGAUCAGCAUGCCACGGUGAAUACGUUCCCGGGCCUU